CCUACGGGAGGCAGCAGUGGGGAAUAUUGGACAAUGGGCGAAAGCCUGAUCCAGCCAUGCCGCGUGUGUGAAGAAGGCCUUCGGGUUGUAAAGCACUUUCAGUGGGGAAGAAAGCCUUGGGGCUAAUACCCUCGAGGAAGGACAUCACCCACAGAAGAAGCACCGGCUAACUCCGUGCCAGCAGCCGCGGUAAUACGGAGGGUGCGAGCGUUAAUCGGAAUUACUGGGCGUAAAGCGCGCGUAGGCGGUCUGAUAAGCCGGUUGUGAAAGCCCCGGGCUCAACCUGGGAACGGCAUCCGGAACUGGCAGGCUAGAGUGCAGGAGAGGAAGGUAGAAUUCCCGGUGUAGCGGUGAAAUGCGUAGAGAUCGGGAGGAAUACCAGUGGCGAAGGCGGCCUUCUGGACUGACACUGACGCUGAGGUGCGAAAGCGUGGGUAGCAAACAGGAUUAGAUACCCGAGUAGUC
rnacentral:rRNA from 1 species